GUUUCAUUCUUCCAUGGGAUGUCGUCAGGUAUAUAAAGUAUCACAGGUUUCCGGCGCUUAGGAGGAGGAUCAAUGUCGAUGCUGUGAUAUAGGAGAAGGAUCAUCGUCGAUGCUGGAAUAUGGGAGGAGUUUCUACGGAGGAGCCAGUGAGGGAUCCUCUUUCAUUUUGAAGAAACGUGCUUGCAAUAGCUGAAGAAGGAUGCUGGCUGGUUUAUCAAGCUUUGUCAUGUGACGAGAAGGAUGUUUGGUCGAAUAUCGGGAGGCGUUGUUUGCGGUGGGAGUGGCGUGUAAAGCAGCGCUCUCAAUGUUUUUAAAUGGUCCCUGAAGGCUUUGAUUCUGUGAGAUCCUCGUGGGAGG